rnacentral:rRNA from 1 species
CCAGACUCCUACGGGAGGCAGCAGUGAGGAAUAUUGGUCAAUGGCCGGAAGGCUGAACCAGCCAAGCCGCGUGAAGGACGAAGGUGCCAAGCAUUGUAAACUUCUUUUGUCAAGGGACAAAAUCAGGCUCGAGAGCCUGACCGAGGGUACUUGAAGAAAAAGCAUCGGCUAACUCCGUGCCAGCAGCCGCGGUAAUCCGGAGGAUGCGAGCGUUAUCCGGAAUUAUUGGGUUUAAAGGGUGCGUAGGCGGCGAUGCAAGCCAGGGGUGAAAGCCCGGGGCCCAACCCCGGGCGAGCCGUUGAAACUGGCGGGCUGGAGUUGGAGAGAAGUACGCGGAAUGCGCGGUGUAGCGGUGAAAUGCUUAGAUAUCGCGCAGAACCCCGAUUGCGAAGGCAGCGUACCGGCUCCACACUGACGCUGAGGCACGAAAGCGUGGGUAUCGAACAGGAUUAGAUACCCCGGUA